CAGGGCAGAAGGGCUCUCCUUCUCCUUACCUCAUCAUCCAACAACAACAGCUCCCCUCCAGGCUCUCACCAGUCUCCACUCUUCAGUCCCAGGCUGGGGAUUAGCUCUCUGCUCUCUGGGAUUCUCUCAGACCCCCAGGACUGAACCCCCUGCCUCUAGACAGCGAUAGAGAGAUGGAGACACACAUCAACAACACAUUCUCAUUCCAUCACCCUGGAGGACAUCUACAGACCACUGACCUGAGCCCUAGGACCUUGCCUCAGGACUACCUGGCAUGAUGACUCCUUGCUAUCCCCAGUCCACCUGGCCAUGCUGCUGCUCCAGUUUAAACUGUUCUGCCUGCGGCUAUGGAAUCCUGACCUGUUCACCGGACGUGCUACCUAUCCCAGAUCCAUUAUUUGACCAUGCUGGUCAUUUAUGAACAUUUGAACAUCUUGGUCAUGUUCUGUUAUAAUCUCCACCCGGCACAGCCAGAAGAGGACUGGCCACCCCUCAUAGCCUGGUUCCUCUCUAGGUUUCUUCCUAGGUUUUGGCCUUUCUAGGGAGUUUUUCCUAGCCAAUAUGCUUCAACACCUGCAUUGCUUGCUGUUUGGGGUUUCAGGCUGGGUUUCUGUACAGCACUUUGAGAUAUCAGCUGAUGUACGAAGGGCUAUAUAAAUACAUUUGAUUUGAUAUGAUGAGCAAUAUGUGUGGAACAUCGAAUCUCAACAAAAUCACAGUAUCGAAUCACUACAUAUUGAAUCGUGAGAAUCGCAACACAUAGCGUAUAUCGGCACCUAAGUAUCUUGAUAAUAUCAUAUUGUGAGGUCACCGGCUAUUCCGAGCCCGAGUACACACAGUUUCUACCACGUGAAGAUGUACAUUUUUACUGCCCUAUGUUUUAUCAAAGUAAAACACUACACACACUUUUUACUGGUCAUCCAUGGCUUAACCAGAUAAAAUAUGGAUAGCUCCUUGGUACUGAAAAGUAAGGGAUUCUAAAAGUUUAGGAUUACGGUAACAAUAUGUUCCGAUUUAGAAUUUAGAGUUAGGAUUAAAGAGUGGAGUGUAAAAGAAGGUGUUGAAUUAGAUAGAGAUGUUUUGGUGCUGGUUUUCUCCCCAGGAAAUACAUUUAAGCAAGUGAACUGGAUGAUGAAACUAGUACUGAAACAGGCUUUAGAAUAUAAUUCACAGCCCAAAUAAGCAGAGAGAGUUUGAUUUAGAUUCCUAGUCUUUCUUAAAGCCUGACAUUCUUGGAUUGGCAGGGAUUAGAAAUCCACAUACAGUAAUGAGUGUACCCAUGAGUGUAUUAUAAAUCAAUGCCAUGACUGGGGUUCACCAUGGUAGAAUGUGAGGCAUUGUAGGAUGCAGCUUCGAUGUACUGUAAGGCUACUGUAGGGUUAACCUUGUGUUUCUGCUAUGCCUUAUUUAACCGGAUGUGUCAUGAGCGUGGAUGUGCUUUUGAUGAAGGCCGUCAUUUCUUAAUUAUAAUACGUGAGACAAAUGUGAAGAUAAUUGUGUCGCCAAAACAACCACGCGCCAGGCGCACGCACACAUCCACACGCAGAGUAAGAAACACUUCACACCUGUCCGUUUAAUUACUAGAGUUUAUUACCG
ensembl:lncRNA